CCCUUAGAUGUUCUGGGCCGCACGCGCGCUACACUGAUGCAUUCAACGAGUCUAAAACCUGCUCUGAUAGGGGUGGGUAAUCUUUUGAAUGUGCAUCGUGAUUGGGAUAGAUGAUUGCAAUUUUUCAUCUUCAACGAGGAAUGCCUAGUAAACGCAAGUCAUCAGCUUGCAUUGAUUACGUCCCUGCCCUUUGUACACACCGCCCGUCGCUCCUACCGAUUGAAUGAUCCGAUGAAUAUCAUGGAUUGAGGAUGUAAGCAGGUUCGCCUGUCUUCAUCUUCGAGAAGUGAAGUAAAUCUUAUCAUUUAGAGGAAGGAGAAGUCGCAACA
rnacentral:rRNA from 1 species